rnacentral:tRNA from 1 species
GCCAGUCUGGCUCAGUGGAUAGAGCAUUGGCUUGUGGACCAAAGGGUCCCAGUUCCAUUCUGGACAAGGGCA